UACGUAGGGUGCAAGCGUUAAUCGGAAUUACUGGGCGUAAAGCGUGCGCAGGCGGUUUUGUAAGUCUGUCGUGAAAGCCCCGGGCUCAACCUGGGAAUGGCCGUUGAAACUGGCGAACUGGAGUGUGGCAGAGGGGGGUGGAAUUCCGCGUGUAGCAGUGAAAUGCGUAGAGAUGCGGAGGAACACCGAUGGCGAAGGCAGCCCCCUGGGCUGACACUGACGCUCAGGCACGAAAGCGUGGGGAGCAAACAGG
rnacentral:rRNA from 1 species